rnacentral:rRNA from 1 species
UACAGGGGGUGCAAGCGUUAUUCGGAAUUACUGGGCGUAAAGCGUGCGUAGACGGUUAUUUAAGUCGGGUGUGAAAGCCCCGGGCUCAACCUGGGAAUUGCAUUCGAGACUGAAUAGCUAGGGUGCGGAAGAGGGAAGCGGAAUUUCCGGUGUAGCGGUGAAAUGCGUAGAUAUCGGAAGGAACACCAGUGGCGAAAGCGGCUUCCUGGUCCAGCACCGACGUUCAGGCACGAAAGCGUGGGGAGCAAACAGG